rnacentral:rRNA from 1 species
ACUUGCUUAGAGCCCAAUAUAUAAUGUAGCAAUAUAUUAUAAAAGUAAUGUCAGAGGCUACAUACCUAUCGCACUGAAAUAUAGCUGGUCUUUCAGCUCCCAGUCUAAUCUGCUCAAGCUGCUAUCCAUAAACCCACAGCUAUGAAAUAAAAUUAAGGAUAAGCUUAAUUUUUCUUUUUAUUUAAUAAAAACUAACCUGAUCAAGUAGGCCUAGAACCAGCCACCAUAAACUACGUUAUAGUAAACAAACUAAAAUUACACAUAAAUACCUUCCUUCCUGAAAUAAUCUAUAAAAUGCAACAUAGAUCAAACUAUGCAAAGAUCAAUAUUUUUCUUCUCUAAACUCAAAGAAACCUUAUAUACACAUAUAAAUAAGGAACUCGGCAACUCCCUAUUCCGACUGUUUAACAAAAACAUUGCCUGUAGUACCUUCAUUACAGGUACACCCUGCCCAGUGUUAUUAUCAACGGCCGCGGUACCCUGACCGUGCAAAGGUAGCAUAAUAAUUUGCCUUUUAAUUGAAGGCUAGUAUGAAAGGGCAAACGAGAAUAAAGCUGUCUCAUUUCUAACCACAAAAAUUUAUCCUCAGGUGAAGAAGCCUGAAUUUCUAUAAAAGACAAGAAGACCCCGUCGAGCUUUAGUCUAAUAUAUGUUCAACUAUCAAUCCUACCCUCUCCCAUAUAUAAACUUUUGUUGGGGCGACAACGGAAUACAUCAAUCUUCCGAAUUACACUAGACUCUAUGUCACACAAAAGAUCCUUUACCGAUCAUAAGAACUAGCUACCGCAGGGAUAACAGACU